GGAGAAUUUUAUCCUUUUUUCAAGGUAAUGCUCUCAGCAAGGUUGCUACAGGAUCUUCAAGAAAUAAAGGAACAACUUCAUCAACCAGGAGAAGAAGAAAUUCUAUGGGGUUUGAGGUACUGAGUUAUCUGAGUCCUACAAUGUCUCCAUUCCAAUUCUUGGGAUCCCACUCUUUCUUAAUCCAAAGAUAACUUUUAUGUAUAUAAUCUGUUAGCUCAAUGAAUUUUGCAGCAGCCUAAAAAAUCAAAAUUUCACUAUUUAUGAGUAAUGAG
rnacentral:lncRNA from 1 species